AGCGAACGCUGGCGGCAGGCCUAACACAUGCAAGUCGAACGAACUCUUCGGAGUUAGUGGCGGACGGGUGAGUAACACGUGGGAACGUGCCUUUUGGUUCGGAAUAACUCAGGGAAACUUGUGCUAAUACCGAAUGUGCCCUUCGGGGGAAAGAUUUAUCGCCAUUAGAGCGGCCGGCGUCUGAUUAGCUAGUUGGUGAGGUAACGGCGCACCAAGGCGACGAUCAGUAGCUGGUCUGAGAGGAUGACCAGCCACACUGGGACUGAGACACGGCCCAGACUCCUACGGGAAGCAGCAGUGGGGAAUCUUGCGCAAUGGGCGAAAGCCUGACGCAGCCAUGCCGCGUGAAUGAUGAAGGUCUUAGGAUUGUAAAAUUCUUUCACCGGGGACGAUAAUGACGGUACCCGGAGAAGAAGCCCCGGCUAACUUCGUG
rnacentral:rRNA from 1 species